rnacentral:Y_RNA from 1 species
GAAUGUGAAGGUAGUGAGUUAUCGCAAUUGAUUGUUCACAGUUCGAACUUGUUCUACUCUUUACUCCCUUCUCACUGCUACACUUGACUAGUCUUUA